GAUGGAAACAAAUUAUUCGGUCUCCUUAUCAAUCACCAUUUGUAUGCAGAUGACUCCUGAAUUGUGGCAAAGCGCAGCAGCUCGGAGGGGGCCCCGGAGUCAGCCCCCUGGGUUUACAUCCGGUUGCACUGCUUGCUCGCCUCUGCGACCCCGGGCAGCUUACGUAAAAUUUUUUUUGCACUUCAGAGCCCUCAUCAACAAAACGAGAACAAUAUUAUGAAUUGAGGGUUACUUGAACAAAUCCAUUAGCGUGAGGUCUGCCGCAUUUUUAAGUGCUCAACGAAUUUAGCCAGCCCAAACUUUUCUCCUGAGUUCCAGACCUAUUCAGACGCCCGUUUAUCCUACCAUCAAACUGUGGCUGAAUUCCUGAGAUAAUUCUCUUGCGACCUUUGGACAAUCUUCCUAAAGAUUCCUUUGUCCGCUGUCGAUCCGAGGGCCAGGAUUUGGAGAGCCCGGAUUUGGAGAGCCCAGAGCCCCGGCUGCUAGGCAGAUAAGUUCACCUCUGCGUGCUGCUAGUUUCGCGAGCCAGCGGCUGGGGAGAAGAUGCCAUUUCCGGUGGUAUCUGAGGCAAAUGACACGAGUCAGCAUUUAGUUCUUUGCAUUAGGAAGUGGAAGACUAAUGACCAAAGCUUGAAGACAUGACCCAUGUGAAAACACAAAGUAUCAAGUAAACCCAAAAUGUAGCAUUUUCCUGGAAUCUGGGGCCGAGCUGGUUUUCAUUUCACAUUUCUCAGUAAUUUGGGUGUAGUUUAUAUGGACUCUUAAACUUUGUUCUGUUUUAACAAUUCAAGACUCUGGGCUCUUCUUACCUUGUAUGUGUUCCCCGUUGAGAAAGCAGAGUGGGGAAGGAGAGAAAGAUGGGCGGGGAGGGCAGAGAAAGAGGAA